rnacentral:rRNA from 1 species
GACGAACGCUGGCGGCGUGCUUAACACAUGCAAGUCGAACGGGCCUGUCUUCUUUUUUGGGGGGUGGGUUGAGUGGCGAACGGGUGAGUAUCACGUGAGUAACCUGCCCUUCGGUCCUGGAUAACCGCUUGAAAGGGCGGCUAAUACGGGGUGGUCCGGUUGGUCCGCAUGGGCUGGUCGGGAUAGAUUCACUGUUUUUGGUGUUUCGGCGGGGGAUGGGCUCGCGGCCUAUCAGCUUGUUGGUGGGGUGAUGGCCUACCAAGGCGGUGACGGGUAGCCGGCCUGGGAGGCUGGGCGGCCACACUGGGACUGAGGUACGGCCCAGACUGCUGCGGGGGGGAGCAGUGGGGGGUAUUGCACACUGGGCGGGAGCCUGGUGCAGCGACGUCGGGUGAGGGAUGGAGGCCUUCGGGUUGUGAACCUCUGUUUCCGGUGGUGAAGGCCCUGUCCGUGUGGUGGGGUUGACGGUAGCCGGGGAUGAAGCGCCGGCUAACUACGUG